GAUGAACGCUGGCGGCGUGCUUAACACAUGCAAGUCGAACGGAAAGGCUCCUGCUUGCAGGGGUACUCGAGUGGCGAACGGGUGAGUAACACGUGGGUGAUCUGCCCUGCACUUCGGGAUAAGCCUGGGAAACUGGGUCUAAUACCGGAUAGGACGAUGGUUUGGAUGCCAUUGUGGAAAGUUUUUCGGUUUGGGAUGAGCUCGCGGCCUAUCAGCUUGUUGGUGGGGUAAUGGCCUACCAAGGCGUCGACGGGUAGCCGGCCUGCGAGGGUGUACGGCCACAUUGGGACUGAGAUACGGCACAGACUCCUACGGGAGGCAGAAGUGGGGAAUAUUGCACAAUGGGCGCAAGCCUGAUGCAGCGACGCCGCGUGGGGGAUGACGGCCUUCGGGUUGUAAACUCCUUUCGCUAGGGACGAAGCGCAAGUGACGGUACCUGGAGAAGAAGCACCGGCUAACUACGUG
rnacentral:rRNA from 1 species